rnacentral:misc_RNA from 1 species
CAUUCAGCUGGAACUUUUGUUGAGGGAGUUGCAAAGGAUGCAAAAGGAAAUGCUGCUGAUGUGGCUGAACGGGUUGGUUCUUUGUUCAAGAGUCGAUGGGCACUCCUCCAGCAGCCAGCUACAAGACAUGCUGUGCAAGAACGUCUAAUAUCUGCUGCUGCUACUACUGGCACAUUCUUCAGAAAAGGUGUGUCAGAGACAAAGGACAAGGUUGUCGUGGGCAAAGUUAAAGUUGAAGAGGUUGCAAAAAAGACUGCACAAAAG